GCGAGUGCGUUGUCGUUGAGUGGUUCUGAAAUCGCUGCGUUAGGGGCGACUGCAACCAAGCGUUGCGGCAAGUUACGGUGGGAGCUUCUGUCCGUGCUGUGUGAUUGCGACGAGGGGACCGCCGCCAGCAGCAGCGUAUCGCCGAUUUCGUCUUUCGGUUUGCACUGCAUCUUUCAUUGUGAUAUGGGAGAUCGCAACGGACAGAGACGACCAGAUGCAUACGAACCACUACCAGCGGGGACCUGUGACCUGUGCCAUAUUUCUCUUAACGUCUCAGGUAUUCAAGAAAUGCCAACAUCCAGAAGACGCCAUCUUAUCCAGCACGUUAUGGGUACACUCUGGUGGCUCCCGCCCCUGCAUCCUACCACCACUGUGUCCUGACUACGUCCACUAGAGAGUUCGAAGCCUUUGGCGGCUCCUGCCACUGCGUCCUGCCACCACCGUGUCCUGACUACGUCCACUAGGGAGUUGGCAGCCUUCGUGAUGAUGCCAAGCAGGCUGGAAGCCGGCAGAAAGAUUAAGGUUGCCUCGAAAUUUUACCAAAGCCGUACCACACACUCGGGCCAGGCCUUUUUGCAAACGGCGUAUAACCAAGCUCAACGCAUGAGUGUCGAGUGAGUCUGGAGAUCAAGGCAACCUGCUGUGCAACCAGCAUGCAACCUUUGGUGACCCCUCUACAUGUUCCACCUAUUUCACAGCUGCACCUCAGCUGCAACUUAUCCAAACAGCAUCACCAACUGUGGUCACUCAUCGAACCAUGGAUGAAUGUUGGGGUGGAGUGAUUUGAAGAGACAUUCUAUUUGUCUCUUCAAAUUCUUAGCAAAUACUUGUGUUAUUAUAAUUAAUAUGUGUCUUUA